GACGAACGCUGGCGGCAUGCCUAAUACAUGCAAGUCGAGCGAACAGAUGAAGUGCUUGCACUUCUGACGUUAGCGGCGAACGGGUGAGUAACACGUAAGGAAUCUACCUAUAAGCGGGGGAUAACAUUCGGAAACGGGUGCUAAUACCGCAUAAUAUCUUCUUCCGCAUGGAAGAAGAUUGAAAGACGGCUCUGCUGUCACUUAUAGAUGACCUUGCGGUGCAUUAGUUAGUUGGUGGGGUAACGGCCUACCAAGACGAUGAUGCAUAGCCGACCUGAGAGGGUGAUCAGCCACAUUGGGACUGAGACACGGCCCAAACUCCUACGGGAGGCAGCAGUAGGGAAUCUUCCGCAAUGGGCGAAAGCCUGACGGAGUAAUGCCGCGUGAGUGAAGAAGGCCUUCGGGUCGUAAAACUCUGUUAUAAGAGAAGAACAAAUUGUAGAGUAACUGCUACAGUCUUGACGGUAUCUUAUCAGAAAGCCACGGCUAACUACGUGCCAGCAGCCGCCGUAA
rnacentral:rRNA from 1 species